UACGAAGGGGGGCUAGCGUUGUUCGGAAUCACUGGGCGUAAAGCGCACGUAGGCGGACUUUCAAGUCAGGGGUGAAAUCCCGGGGCUCAACCUCGGAAUUGCCUUUGAUACUGUAGGUCUCGAGUCCGGAAGAGGUGGGUGGAAUUCCUAGUGUAGAGGUGAAAUUCGUAGAUAUUAGGAAGAACACCGGUGGCGAAGGCGGCCCACUGGUCCGGUAC
rnacentral:rRNA from 1 species